rnacentral:rRNA from 1 species
UACGGAGGGUGCAAACGUUGCUCGGAAUCAUUGGGCGUAAAGCGCACGUAGGCGGUCCGGUAAGUCGGAUGUGAAAUCCCUCGGCUCAACCGAGGAAGUGCAUUCGAAACUGCCAGACUUGAAUAUGGAAGAGGGUCGCGGAAUUCCCGGUGUAGAGGUGAAAUUCGUAGAUAUCGGGAGGAACAUCUGCGGCGAAGGCGGCUUUCUGGCUCAUUACUGACGUUCAGGUACGAAAGCGUGGGUAGCAAACAGGG